rnacentral:rRNA from 1 species
GACGAACGCUGGCGGCGUGCUUAACACAUGCAAGUCGAACGGAAAGGCCUCUUUCGGGGGGUACUAGGGUGGCGAACGGGUGAAUAACACGUGAGUACCCUGCACUCUACUUUUUGAUAAGUGCUGAAAACGGGGGCCAAUACCUGAUACGAGAUCCUACUGCCUGGUGGGGGUUGGAAAGCUUCGGGUGUUGGGGAAGGACUCGCGGCUAAUCCGCUUGAUGGUGGGGGAGUGGCUUACGCAGGCCUUGGCGGGUAGCCGGACACGGAGGGUGAGCGGCGACAUUGGGACUGAGAGACGGCCGAGACGGCUACGGGUGGCAGCAGUGGGGAAGAUUGCACAAGGGGUGGAAGCCGGAUGAAGCAGCGCCUUGUGCGGGAUGACGGCCUUCGGGUUGUAAACCGGUUUCGCUCAUGACGAAGCUUUGUGUGACGGUAGUGAGUAAAGAAGCACCGGCUAACUACGUG